AGAAUUAUUAAAUAGGAAAUGUUUUCUCAAACCAAAUAUCUCCCAAGCAUUUCAUGUAUAGGAUUAUCAAUAAACCAGGAAUGGAUGAUAGCAAUGGGGCAAAGGGGGCAGGAAGAGGGUAAAAAUGGGUUAGUAAUGUUUCAAAAAAUUUGCAAAGCCUCAUUUGCAUUUAAUGCAAAGAAAACCAAUAUAUUGAGGUUGCUUUCUGAGAUCCAUGAAGAGAAAACACUAGUACUUUUGAAUAAGGGGUAGAAUUCUAAUUAGAAGUUAUUGUAAAAUGUUAUGCAUAGCACAUAGGCACAUCAUCUCUUGUGUUUGUAUGUAUAUGGCUCAGAUGGUGCCCAUUUGGUAUAUUUAAUGUGUAAUUUGUGCAUGCAUCAGAGCGUAAUAAGCUUCUAGAACAUACUUUUUACCUAACUGCUUCUGGGGUCCAUAUUAUGGUUCAGUAAUGAGUGGAACAACUUACGUUGAAGUAAUUUUAACUCUUUGACUUAACUUUCUGAAAUAAUGGAUGGAGUUCAGUUUAAGUAAACUUCAUCUGCCCUCAGAGAAGACAGCUUUGGGGACCCAGUUAUAUACAAGCAGGCAUUGUGAUUAACAUAAUUUAGGAGGUUGUCAGAUUAAUGAGACUGCCAUCUUUGGCUCUAGCAUACAUCCAUUGUCACCACUUGAAAAA
rnacentral:lncRNA from 1 species